rnacentral:rRNA from 1 species
UACAGAGGGGGCAAGCGUUGUUCGGAAUUACUGGGCGUAAAGGGCGCGUAGGCGGCCCGCUAAGUCGGACGUGAAAUCCCCAGGCUCAACUUGGGAACUGCGUCCGAUACUGGAUGGCUUGAGUGCGGGAGAGGGAUGUGGAAUUCCAGGUGUAGCGGUGAAAUGCGUAGAUAUCUGGAGGAACACCGGUGGCGAAGGCGGCAUCCUGGACCGACACUGACGCUGAGGCGCGAAAGCUAGGGGAGCAAACGGG